AGCAGCCGCGGUAAUUCCAGCUCCAAUAGCGUAUAUUAAAGUUGUUGCAGUUAAAAGGCUCGUAGUUGAACUUCGGGAUUUGCCCAUUGGUCAGGCUUAACUGUCUGCACUGGUGUGACGAGUUCCUACCUUCUGAGGAAUCUCCAUGUCAUUCAGUUGGUGUGGGGGGAAAUCAGGACUGUUACUUUGAAAAAUUAGAGUGUUUAAAGCAGGCAUCCGUCUGAAUACAUUAGCAUGGAAUAAUAAAAUAGGACGGUUUGGUUCUAUUUUGUUGGUUUCUAGGAUCACCGUAAUGAUUAAUAGGGAUAGUUGGGGGCAUUAGUAUUCAAUUGUCAGAGGUGAAAUUCUUGGAUUUAUUGAAGACUAACUACUGCGAAAGCAUUUGCCAAGGAUGUUUUCAUUAAUCAAGAACGAAAGUUAGGGGAUCGAAGACGAUCAGGUACCGUCGUAGUCUUAACCAUAAACUAUGCCGACUAGGGAUCGGACGAAGUUAAUUUUUA
rnacentral:rRNA from 1 species